AAGGAUUUAUAUGCUAAGAAGAUGUCAUGGGCAACGGCAUACAUACGCGGUUGCUUUUAUGCUGGGCUGAGAACAACAUCUCGAUGUGAGUCACUGCAUGCAAAAAUGGGCAGGUUUGUGGAGAGGAGAUACGGAAUCUUGGAGUUUGUCACGAACUUCCAACGGUGUGUUGAUUUCCUAAGGAAUAAUGAGGAUGAGCUUGACUUCAGGUCGUUGUAUGGGAGCCCCGUGCUCCAAACUCAGUUUCCAGAGCUAGAGAACUCAGGUGCAUUGAACUACACGAAGAAAAUAUUUAUGCGUUUUAGAGAUGCGCUGAAGAGAAGCGUGCGGAUUACUAUUGUAGAGUGCAACAAAUUAGACGAUCGGACGGUUUAUGUGACACAGAAGUAUCGUAGGCCACAAUUUCGAUGGACUGUUGCCCACCAUUUUCGAGAGAAUUCCUUUUUUUGUAGUUUCCUGAGGUUUGAGUCGUUCGGACUACCUUGUGUGCACAUACUUGCGGUGUUGGUGCAGUUGGACAUAGGUUGUCUUCCGGAAAGCAUAGUGUUGAAACGCUGGUCGAAGACUGCCAAGGUUGAGCUGGAGGGGUCUUCCCCCAUGAACAAAGAGGGGGAUGUGAAUGCAGUAUACAAGGUUCGAGUGGGUGCUUUCCUGCAGCAUUGUAAGCGGCUGGCAAGAGUUGCGUGUAUGCAAGAGAAUGAUUUCAAGAGUUAUUUGGAGAAGAUAGUUGAAGAAACCGCUUUCUUGGAAAUGAAGAAUGGUGUUGGGACUACCGGCAGGUGCAGCGUUGAUGGUGCCGAAGAAGGAGUGCGCGAUCCCGUUGCGGUUCAGAGUAAGGGAACUGGGCGUGGUCAAGAGCCUUUUAGGUGCUGGGGAAGAAAGCGGCGCAAGUGCAGCACCUGUGGUAUAGUUGGACAUCGCCGAACUCAUUGCCCGAGCGGUCCAGCAAGUCAGCCAACAUGUAGCCAAGACCCGACAGAAGAUAUUGUACCCCACAGUGAAUCACAGAGCCAUGCCCCGUUUUUUAUUGAAUGACUAAAUAACCUUGUGGGACUCACUGUGUGGCAUACACAAAUCUGCAAUAUGAGUAUUGGUUUGAAAUGGCAGAUCCCUCUUUAUUAAUGGAUUGAUUGGUGGCCGGCGACGAAGACCAAAGCCAGAGAGGUAGCAAGACCGUGCGUGUGAUUGCAAGCCCGUUGACCGAUAACUAAAGUCCAGUAGGUGGAGUUCAUGUUGUUGGGAACUAAACCGUAGUGAAAUGUUUGUCUACUAAUUAGCUAAUUUCGCUUGUGUAUUGCUCCAUAUGUUUGUGGUUGCGGUAAGUUAUGUUCUUGAAUAGGAUAGAAUAGCUAUGAGAACUUUUCUAUGUA